rnacentral:miRNA from 1 species
GGUGGGAGGGUCCCACCGAG